rnacentral:rRNA from 1 species
UGGGGAAUCUUGCGCAAUGGGCGAAAGCCUGACGCAGCAACGCCGCGUGCGGGAUGAAGGCCUUCGGGUUGUAAACCGCUUUCAGCAGGGACGAAGUUGACGGUACCUGCAGAAGAAGCCCCGGCCAACUACGUGCCAGCAGCCGCGGUAACACGUAGGGGGCGAGCGUUGUCCGGAUUUAUUGGGCGUAAAGAGCUCGUAGGCGGUUCUGUAAGUCGGGUGUGAAAACUCUGGGCUCAACCCAGAGACGCCACUCGAUACUGCGGUGACUUGAGUCCGGUAGGGGAGUGCGGAAUUCCUGGUGUAGCGGUGAAAUGCGCAGAUAUCAGGAGGAACACCGACGGCGAAGGCAGCACUCUGGGCCGGUACUGACGCUGAGGAGCGAAAGCGUGGGGAGCGA